AGCUAAGUUCGGCAAGGAUAACCCCUGAAAGCAUCUAAGCGGGAAGCCCCCCUCAAGAUAAGAUAUCCCCUCAUACAAUUAAUUUUAUUGAGUGUAUGACUGAAGACUACUUGAAGACUACAAGAUUGAUAGGCUGGGUGUGUAAGUACAGUAAUGUAUUCAGCUAACCAGUACUAAUAGUCGUGAGACU
rnacentral:rRNA from 1 species